AACAUUUCCCACCAUUCUCCCCCCAAAUUUAUUUCCCUCCCACCAGGCAGCAUGAGGAGGUGAAAUUGAAAAUUUUCAAGUGGCAUUCAGACAACAGAUAUGAAAAACCAUUGUCUGAGCCUCUGAGGGCUUGUCCAUGAAUUAAACGAGGGCUUCUUAAUGUUAUUCAAAACCACGCCACCUAGCCGGCCGAUACUUCAUUUUGGGAACGAAAGAAUUGACAAACCCCAACCUUAUCUCCUUGAGAAACCCCUUCUUCGACAGACCUCGAGUCCUCUACCCUCUCCCUCUCUCUUCUUUGACACAAGUCUCCCCCCCUCUUCUUGACAAGCCCCAACCUUAUCUCCUCCAGAGACCCCAACCCUAUCUCUUCUUCGACAAACCCCAACCAAAGCUCUCUCUCUCUUCGACAAAUCCCGACCAAAACCAUAUCUGCCUCUAGAUUGAAAACCUAAUGGGUAGCCUGGAGAGAGCCCUAGAUUGGAAGCCAUCUCUUCUCCAAUUCUUCGAAUCUCUUUCUCUCACAGUCCAUUUUGGUCUCUCUACGUAGGAGCAAAAGAACCUGAAGGGUGAACUCCUUCGACCCCAUGAACGGGUGAAGAGGAUCUAGUCGGUGCCUAGCACAGAUGACGAACAACCUCAUCGCAGCGCUCUAGCUCCAAAGCUGAUCCCUCCCGAAAGGCUGGGCAAUGAUGAGUGCAUGGCACAGUCAACAACAUCUGGGCUGUUUCAUAUGUAUGUUGGUUUUGGCAUAAGCGCAGAACCUUUCAUCUAUAUAUUUACUGCAUAUUGGUAUAUUUUGUUGUGAGUUGUAAGUUGUGACUUGGUUUGAGUUAGAGUUACUAAUGUUUAUUAUUCAUUUUACCUUCAUACGGGCCUCCUUACAUCUUCUCGGUCUUCCUAGUGCUCUCCUUUGUGAUCAAAAUUCAUAGAAGGCCCUCGAUUGACCAUCCUCAAACUCUAGCUUUUGCCCUCUCUCACUCUCUCUCAAUUUCUUUUGAAAUUAGAUACACAUAUGGAGACUUCUCCCAAAGCGUCUCGAUCCGUUGUAUCUUUAUUGAGCCACUCUCUCACGCUGUUCUUCUGGUUUAGCAAGGAUUUCGGCAGGCUAUUUGGUUCUGGGCAAUGGGCUAUGGUCGUACUUAGGAUUGGACUUUUCAUUACUCUUUCCCAUAUGCUCGUUUCAGUAGGUUGUGCUAGAUAAGGAGAAGUAGGUAGUGACAGUGGACAGAGAGGUAGAUGGUGGUCUUGAGACUCUGUUUAGAUUUACCAGCAGUGAUUACUGAGGUACCUUAUAUAUGGGCAAUGAGAAAGCAAUUAAAGUUGAGGAAGGUCCCAAACACAAAUUAACUUGGUGUUCAGAUUUAAAGAUGGGCAAUACUACAAGUACCAGGUGGUGUCUAGCAGUUUUAUGCUCUCUCCUGAUUUUCAUCCUUGCAGCUGUGGGAUAUGGAUGAUAUAUUGCAAGGCUCCGGAAAUACUUCAAGGACUCGAGCAACUGUGGGGGACAGUGAUAGUGAUGAGAUGGAUAUAGAUAUUAAUACUCCAAAGACCAGAAAAGGAACAAAGAGAAAAAAUGCAAGCAAAGAUCAUGUUAUGGGUUCACACAACUUUUUUGCAGACUUAUAGAUGGAUGGUUGAUUACAAGUUCUCUCAUUGACAGACAAUGUCACUGAAGAACAUAAGCUACCUUUGUCAAUCACAUAUUGCUAGAAACAGUGCGGCUAUUUUGUGAUGAGAUACAAGAGGGAUAUCAUCCAUGAUACAACUUUGUCAUUUGCAGAUAAGUGGGAUAGGAGAGCCAACCAUACUUAUGGUCAAGCGGAACUUGAUGAAGUGCAUAAUGAGCUUGCAAAUUAUGUGAUGAAGAACCUGCUGAUGAAGCUAUGAAGUGUUGGUUUUUUUUUUGGGUGUAUAUAUGCAAGGUCUCAAGUGCAUUUAGGCUAGAUGUUGGUCCUUUUUGGAUUGGCUUGAAUUGUAUGUCUUGUAUAGAUGUGAUUAUGUAGGAUGAGACUAUUUUAGCCACAUUUGUGGAUGUAUUUUGCUAUUAGAGAUCCAUAGACGAUCCUUUCUAUUUUGCGGAUACAAUUACCAUUAUCGGAUCUAUUUAUGGAAUUAUAAUAGCUAUUUAUUAUGAGAGAAUCACUGUUCAUUUGGUCAA